AUUAAAAUUAAAAUUUACUUAAUCUAAAUUUUCAAUAUUUUAAUAUGGCAGAUUAGUGCAUUGGCUUUAAACCCCAAUUAUAAAG
rnacentral:tRNA from 1 species